GAAAAGGCCUAAUGGUUCGGGGGUUUGGCUCCCGACCGAAAGGUUCUGGGUUCGAAACCCCCAGUGUCC